rnacentral:rRNA from 1 species
GACGAACGCUGGCGGCGUGCUUAACACAUGCAAGUCGAACGCUGAUGGCCCAGCUUGCUGGGUUGGAUGAGUGGCGAACGGGUGAGUAACACGCGAGUAACCUGCCCUCUUCUUUGGGAUAACGGUCGGAAACGGCUGCUAAUACCGGGUAUUCACUGUCCUUCGCAUGGGGGGUGGUGGAAAGGUUUUUUCUGGUGGGGGAUGGGCUCGCGGCCUAUCAGCUUGUUGGUGGGGUGAUGGCUUACCAAGGCUUUGACGGGUAACCGGCCUGAGAGGGUGACCGGUCACAUUGGGACUGAGAUACGGCCCAGACUCCUACGGGAGGCAGCAGUGGGGAAUAUUGCACAAUGGGCGAAAGCCUGAUGCAGCGACGCCGCGUGAGGGAUGACGGCCUUCGGGUUGUAAACCUCUUUCGCUCAUGGUCAAGCCGCAACUCAAGGUUGUGGUGAGGGUAGUGGGUAAAGAAGCACCGGCUAACUACGUGCCAGCAGCCGCGGUAAUACGUAGGGUGCGAGCGUUGUCCGGAAUUAUUGGGCGUAAAGGGCUUGUAGGCGGUUUGUCGCGUCCGCCGUGAAAUCCUCUGGCUUAACUGGGGGCGUGCGGUGGGUACGGGCAGGCUUGAGUGCGGUAGGGGAGACUGGAACUCCUGGUGUAGCGGUGGAAUGCGCAGAUAUCAGGAAGAACACCGGUGGCGAAGGCGGGUCUCUGGGCCGUUACUGACGCUGAGGAGCGAAAGCGUGGGGAGCGAACAGG